rnacentral:rRNA from 1 species
UACGAAGGGGGCUAGCGUUGUUCGGAAUUACUGGGCGUAAAGCGCACGUAGGCGGACAUUUUAAGUCAGGGGUGAAAUCCCAGAGCUCAACUCUGGAACUGCCUUUUGAUACUGGGGUGUCUUGAGUAUGGAAGAGGUGAGUGGAAUUCCGAGUGUAGAGGUGAAAUUCGUAGAUAUUCGGAGGAACACCAGUGGCGAAGGCGGCUCACUGGUCCAUUACUGACGCUGAGGUGCGAAAGCGUGGGGAGCAAACAGG